AUUGAACGCUGGCGGCAGGCCUAACACAUGCAAGUCGAGCGAGCGGCGGACGGGUGAGUAAUGUAUGGGGACUGCCCGAUAGAGGGGGAUAACUACUGGAAACGGUGGCUAAUACCGCAUACUAUCGGAUAACCCAUAUGGGAUUAGCUAGGAGGUGGGGUAAAGGCUCACCUAGGCGACGAUCUCUAGCUGGUCUGAGAGGAUGAUCAGCAACACGGGGACUGAGACACGGCACAGACUACUACGGAGGAAGCAGUGGGGAAUAUGGCACAAUGGGCGAAAGCCUGAUGCAGCCAUGCCGCGUGUAUGAAGAAGGCCUGAGGGUUGGAAAGUUCUUUCGGUAGCGAGGCGUUAACUACAGAAGAAGCACCGGCUAACUCCGUGCCAGCAGCCGCGGUAAUAC
rnacentral:rRNA from 1 species